UCUCAGGUUUUUUCACUGUAC
rnacentral:piRNA from 1 species